AGAACUCAACUUUAUAUAUAUAUAUCCUCUCUAAUUAGUAUAACCCAUAUUUAUUUCGUGGCAUUGGCACUUAUACGCUAGGGUCCUACCCGUUGUGGUAAGCAUGAAAAAUAGGAUAUUCCAUUAAAAUAUCCGAAUCCUCUUUGAAAACUACGUACGUAAACAAAUUUUCCUAUUUUUGGGUAUCGGAAGAAACGUGUAAACUUCACUGAAGACCCGAAAAAUAACUAACAAAUCCCAUCAACCUUUCUAAAACUGCAGAAUCCUCUCAGGAACGCAAACCAAUACCACUCAUGUUUUUAACUUACUUCAUGGGUCCGGAAGACAGUAGUGAAAGCAUUUAGCUCCAUCCAACGCAAAAGCAACUCUUCACUUCUUCUGUACUUGAAAAAAGAGACAUGCAUUACCUGCAACCAAAAUGCUGACAUGGGAACAUCAUAAGUCCUUAGCUUAUCCCAAAUAUGGCGUACGGUUUCCGUGCCACCUUGCAUUCCAACCACAGCACCAGAUAUUAUCCACUCAGGAAGCU